UUACAGUAUACAUAAAAAUAGAUUCCGAAUAAAAAUCUAAAUAUUUUUAAAGUAGAUACUAGAAGAAAAUAUAAGAGAACAUCUUAAUAAAAUGAGGGUGAAGCAAAGUCUUUUGCAAAAGCAGAACUCUAAGGACAGAAGUCCAGAAAAGAUUAACCAACAGAUAUGAGAGCAAAACUUGAGGAAUGUUCUGUGCAAUAAAAGAUUAAAGCGUAAGAACUUCCAGGAUGGGCAAAAAUGUAUUCAUUUGUGUUUCUGUUUAUUAAUAACUGCAUUGUCUAAAAGAGGAUUUGGGGACACUUACAGCAAUGGAUAGAGAAUAGAAUAAAAUGUAAUACACAUGCACACAGAUGAAUGAAGGUGAAGGGAAAAAAUAUAUAUAGGAAGACAGAGUCAAUGAACAAAAUAUACUUCAUAAUACCCUAAACAAUGUUUUUAAACAAAGAGCAUCUUUUUCUUUGAGUUUCCUAGAAGCCAGAACAAAGAGGAAGACGGCAUUCAUUGGCCACUUCUCAGUGUCCAUAAGACAACAACUAAAGUGUUUAAGACACAUACAGAUUUCUGAUACUGACACUGGAAAGAAAUGUGUCUAGUAGGUCCCUUCUGUCUUUGGAAAUAAAAAGAGCAAUAAAUUAAAUCUAAUGCAAAGUGACAAAUUAUUUGUCAAAUUUAAUGUAGCCAUGUAUGGGGACAGAUGGUUAUUAGACUUCUGGUGAUCAUUUCAUAAUGUACGCAAGUGUCAAAUCAUUAUGCAGUACACCUGAAACUAACAUAAUAUUGUACACCAACUAUACUCCUCAAAAAAAAUGUAACGUAGCCACAUAAUGUCAAACAAGCCUUGUAGCUGUAGUGUUGAUACUUCCCAGACACUGGCAGGCCUUCACCUCUUGUAUCUACCAGGCCACUUUACUGGCUUUGACAAGAAACCCAACCGCACCAAGCAUUUAAUGAUUUUUGUAGAUACUGAGAUUUGAGGGGUCGCUGGGAAAGGUCACCCAGUCAAGGUCUUGCCACUUCGCUGCCCACUGUCCCCACCCCCUCCUUCUACUCUUUCUUGGCCCCUUCAUCCCCUCUCCCAGCCAACUCCACCCAUGCUCAAGUCUUCUUCCGUCCGCAGCUGUUUCCCUCCCUCUGGUCCUGGCACCAGCCAGUGGGCACCCUACCCGUGGAGCCAGCCAUUUACCCGAAGUGGGGUGGUGUAGCAUUUCCCCAUGAAAAUCUGGCCGCUCUCCAUCUUGUACACUAGGAUCGGGAAGCCAGUCUCUCCUUCCUCACUCCCUCCAUCUCCCGUCUGGCAAGGGAGAUGCUGACCAUGUCAGGGAAGUCCCUGCCCCUCCUUCCAGGCUGGUCGAUGCAGUUUGGGGUCUACGUGACAGAGGGUUCAUCAGCCUAAGCAUCUCUUUAUAUAGUUAGCUCUCAGCUCCAGCACUGGUUUUAUAAAUAAAUUUCUUAUUUUAAUUAUGAACCUGCACAGUGGAAGGAGAUGAUUAAACGAAGAGAAAUCUGAAAUCACUUCUGAUCUGGGCGAAGUAAACAAGUGCCUAUUUCCAAGACUGUUCUGCAAAUAGAACACAGACGUGACAUAAAGGACACUCGUCAGAUCUCCCCCUCCCCUGCGCUGUUGUUGUUCUUGAUGUCUGAAGAUGAUUUCUUUUUUCGUUCUUUGCUUUAGUUACGAGGAUCCUGACAAGUGCCUGCUUCUCUAUGGUGAUGAUCAGGGAUGUGUGAACAUUCUGUUUUUGGCUUCUGUCGGUGAACUAUUAAGACCCAAGAUGGCAACUGUGUACCAGGCAUAGGGCGGCCAGGGCCCUUCAGAAGGCAUAACCAUUGGAAUGAGUAUCUGGUGGAGCCGCCUCUCUUGAGAGGAGAUGGACAUGGUUGGUAAAUAUGAGCGCUAAGUACUCAGAAGUCUAAGCAGAUGAAAGUCCAGAGUCCAAAGAUCAUACCCCUAACUGAAAAACCAAGAAGAAGCCGUGCAAACGUGCUAUUUAGAGCAUGGAAUAGAUACCAAAUGACCAUCUAAAAGAAGGAAGCGUGGAGGCCUUCGGGGAUAGAAAGGAAGAAAGGGGUCCAGCUUCUUGCAGAACUGUUUGACUCUUCAAGCAACUGCAGGUCACUUAGAUUAAAAUAAAAAUAAAUUUUAAAAAAAGGAAAAGAAAAACAAGCAAAACUUCCAAAAAAAAAUUCCAGAUUUUCAACUAUUUGAAGAUGACUAUUAAGUUUUCCCUUCUCCCAGGUAAACUGUUCUGGUUUUCUUAACUGUCCUUCAUCCGACCUCAUUUCAAGAUAUCUUGUCAUCCUGGCAUCUCUUCUGGACAAUGUCCCAAGUGCUCAGAACUGAGUACCACAAGGUAUCACACAGCCCACCAAUGCUUGACCCACUGGCAUAUUACAAUAACCCCCACUUUAAAGCCAUGUAUUCCUCAUCCUUUCCUUAUAAAUUAAUAUUCUGAACCUGAAUCCAGGGCUUUCAUUCUUACUAAACUUCAUUUCAUUGAUUUUUUUUUUCAUCCUUAUCGUAUUUGGUUAAAAUAAUUUUAAAUUCUGAUAA